rnacentral:rRNA from 1 species
CGUAGUUGAUCAUGGCUCAGAUUAGAACGCUGGCGGAAUGCUUUACACAUGCAAGUCGAACGGUAGAGGGGCAACCCUUGAGAGUGGCGAACGGGUGAGUAAUAUAUCGGAACGUGCCCAGUCGUGGGGGAUAACGUAGCGAAAGUUACGCUAAUACCGCAUACGAUCUAAGGAUGAAAGCGGGGGAUCGCAAGACCUCGCGCGAUUGGAGCGGCCGAUAUCAGAUUAGGUAGUUGGUGAGGUAAAGGCUCACCAAGCCAACGAUCUGUAGCUGGUCUGAGAGGACGACCAGCCACACUGGAACUGAGACACGGUCCAGACUCCUACGGGAGGCAGCAGUGGGGAAUUUUGGACAAUGGACGCAAGUCUGAUCCAGCCAUUCCGCGUGCAGGAUGAAGACCCUCGGGUUGUAAACUGCUUUUGUACGGAACGAAAAGGUUUGUCUUAAUACGAUGAGCUCAUGACGGUACCGUAAGAAUAAGCACCGGCUAACUACGUG